UCCUCGAUAGCUCAGUUGGCAGAGCGGGCGGCUGUUAACCGCCAGGUCUCACGUUCGAACCGUGAUCGGGGAGCCA
rnacentral:tRNA from 2 species